CCGCCUCCUUCCCCUCGCCCUCACUCUUCCCCUCCCCCUCCUUCUUCCCUUCCUCCCGCGAUCCGACCGACCUGUGCGCGCCUAAGGCCCCGCAGCCUAGCGCCGAGUUCCGAGCGGCCAAUCCGUCGCUCGUGGCUCCACUCGCCGUUGUGUAAGAAACCCCAUAGCCCGCCAUGGAGCGUGCCUUUACCCCGCUGCGGCCCCUGCUACCCACCGAUGUGCUGUGACUAGCUGUUUCUGGCCCUUGCUGCUGUGACUUUCCUGCUUUGAGGGACUGUGACUUGGAAGGGUAAGAUAAAAGGAAAACCUUUC